rnacentral:rRNA from 1 species
GAUGAACGCUGGCGGCGUGCCUAAUACAUGCAAGUCGAGCGAACGGACGAGAAGCUUGCUUUUCUGAUGUUAGCGGCGGACGGGUGAGUAACACGUGGAUAACCUACCUAUAAGACUGGGAUAACUUCGGGAAACCGGAGCUAAUACCGGAUAAUAUUUUGAACCGCAUGGUUCAAAAGUGAAAGACGGUCUUGCUGUCACUUAUAGAUGGAUCCGCGCUGCAUUAGCUAGUUGGUAGGGUAACGGCUUACCAAGGCAACGAUGCAUAGCCGACCUGAGAGGGUGAUCGGCCACACUGGAACUGAGACACGGUCCAGACUCCUACGGGAGGCAGCAGUAGGGAAUCUUCCGCAAUGGGCGAAAGCCUGACGGAGCAACGCCGCGUGAGUGAUGAAGGUCUUCGGAUCGUAAAACUCUGUUAUUAGGGAAGAACAUAUGUGUAAGUAACUGUGCACAUCUUGACGGUACCUAAUCAGAAAGCCACGGCUAACUACGUGCCAGCAGCCGCGGUAAUACGUAGGUGGCAAGCGUUAUCCGGAAUUAUUGGGCGUAAAGCGCGCGUAGGCGGUUUUUUAAGUCUGAUGUGAAAGCCCACGGCUCAACCGUGGAGGGUCAUUGGAAACUGGAAAACUUGAGUGCAGAAGAGGAAAGUGGAAUUCCAUGUGUAGCGGUGAAAUGCGCAGAGAUGUGGAGGAACACCAGUGGCGAAGGCGACUUUCUGGUCUGUAACUGACGCUGAUGUGCGAAAGCGUGGGGAUCAAACAGGAUUAGAUGCCCUGGUAGUCCACGCCGUAAACGAUGAGUGCUAAGUGUUAGGGGGUUUCCGCCCCUUAGUGCUGCAGCUAACGCAUUAAGCACUCCGCCUGGGGAGUACGACCGCAAGGUUGAAACUCAAAGGAAUUGACGGGGGCCCGCACAAGCGGUGGAGCAUGUGGUUUAAUUCGAAGCAACGCGAAGAACCUUACCAAAUCUUGACAUCCUUUGACAACUCUAGAGAUAGAGCCUUCCCCUUCGGGGGACAAAGUGACAGGUGGUGCAUGGUUGUCGUCAGCUCGUGUCGUGAGAUGUUGGGUUAAGUCCCGCAACGAGCGCAACCCUUAAGCUUAGUUGCCAUCAUUAAGUUGGGCACUCUAAGUUGACUGCCGGUGACAAACCGGAGGAAGGUGGGGAUGACGUCAAAUCAUCAUGCCCCUUAUGAUUUGGGCUACACACGUGCUACAAUGGACAAUACAAAGGGCAGCGAAACCGCGAGGUCAAGCAAAUCCCAUAAAGUUGUUCUCAGUUCGGAUUGUAGUCUGCAACUCGACUACAUGAAGCUGGAAUCGCUAGUAAUCGUAGAUCAGCAUGCUACGGUGAAUACGUUCCCGGGUCU